rnacentral:lncRNA from 1 species
CCCCCUCUGGGGAGCUCGCCCAGGCCCCGCCUCCCCGGGGAGGGGGCUUCGCCGCCGCCGCCCCCGCCCCGGAGCCCGCGAAAGCAGCGCGAGGUCCUACGGUCCCGCCGCUGCCCAGGCCGGGAUCCGCGCUCACACCUGCCGGCCGCCGCCGUCAGCGCCGCUGCGGACCCGGCGGCGUCGCAGCCUUCUCUGACGUCAGCACGCCGGGGCGGCCCCGCCCCUCGGCCCCCGGGGGAGCUGGGCGGGCUGGGGCUGGGGCUGGGGCUGCCGUGACUCGGGAGCAGACGCACGCUUGGGCGGCCGGCGGAACCGAGGCGCCAGCCUUUCCUCGUCGGUGAGAAGAGCACGGAACUGUGCAGGCGAAUACAGGAUGAUUUUCAGUGAGCUGUGAUGGAGAGACAUGGACCAGCAUGGAGCAUUUGGGAAGUGGAAGGAAAAUGUAGCAGUGUGGGAUAGAAGACGGCAUGGGGCUGGGAGUUAGAACCGGUCCCAACAGCUGGAGAAUUGCUGAUAAGGAACUUUGUCUCACUGGAGAAGUGAGAGAGCAGCAGAGUGAGACCAAGCACAAAUGGAUGUGCCUCCACUGGGAAGAAAAUAUCAGCCAUGAAGAUCAGGAUGUCCCUCAACAUCAGCAUAGGGAGCAUGAUCCAUAGCAGGUACUCUGCUAAUUGCUGUCCCUGAAUCUUCCCACAUCAUGGUGUAAAGUGACUCCCUAUUGCCGACUCAUCAAAUACAACAUUUCUGGAUUUCAAAUCACUCAUAGUCUGGCCUCCCCCCUUAGAUAAAAUGAAUGGUAAAAUGUAUAAUUUACAAAAUAAUGAUUUAAAAAAUGUAUUUGUACUCAUCACUCACUUUUAAGAAAUAAAAUAUUACAAAUACCCAACCCAUCCUCCAUUGUAUUCUCCUCUUAAUCCCAAAGGUAACUACUAUCCUGAGUUUGAGUUUAAUAUCCUGCAGCUCAUCAUACUUUUAAUACAGAUGUAUGUAUCCAUACGGUAUUAUUUGCAUGAUUUCAAACCUGAAAUAGUACUAUUAUUGU